rnacentral:rRNA from 1 species
UACGGAGGAUGCAAGCGUUAUCCGGAAUUAUUGGGCGUAAAGCGUCCGUAGGCGGCUUUACAAGUCAGCUGUUAAAGCGUGGAGCUUAACUUCAUAAAGGCAGUUGAAACUGUGAGGCUAGAGUGCGGUAGGGGUAAGGGGAAUUCCCAGUGUAGCGGUGAAAUGCGUAGAUAUUGGGAAGAACACCGGUGGCGAAAGCGCCUUGCUGGACCUGCACUGACACUGAGGGACGAAAGCUAGGGGAGCGAAAGGG